rnacentral:rRNA from 1 species
GAUGAACGCUGGCGGCGUGCCUAAUACAUGCAAGUCGAGCGAACGGACGAGAAGCUUGCUUCUCUGAUGUUAGCGGCGGACGGGUGAGUAACACGUGGAUAACCUACCUAUAAGACUGGGAUAACUUCGGGAAACCGGAGCUAAUACCGGAUAAUAUUUUGAACCGCAUGGUUCAAAAGUGAAAGACGGUCUUGCUGUCACUUAUAGAUGGAUCCGCGCUGCAUUAGCUAGUUGGUAAGGUAACGGCUUACCAAGGCAACGAUGCAUAGCCGACCUGAGAGGGUGAUCGGCCACACUGGAACUGAGACACGGUCCAGACUCCUACGGGAGGCAGCAGUAGGGAAUCUUCCGCAAUGGGCGAAAGCCUGACGGAGCAACGCCGCGUGAGUGAUGAAGGUCUUCGGAUCGUAAACCUCUGUUAUUAGGGAAGAACAUAUGUGGAAGUAACUGUGCACAUCUUGACGGUACCUAAUCAGAAAGCCACGGCUAACUACGUG